ensembl:lncRNA
CUGGAGGAAUUCUGAGAUGGAACAGAUUACCCAUAAUUCACGAGGAUAACUUAACUGGACCUGUUUCCUGUCUGGAGCCGCGAACUGCUCUAUAACCAGCGGAUCCGGACCGAUCUGAGCAGAGCUGAGAGUUUGGAGCCGGUUUGUUAACUCACGUGAGAAAUAGUGCAUUGCUGGAAUAUGUGUGAGAGUGAACAGGAGAUGAGGUCACAGGAAGUCAAGCCCUGGCUGCAAUUGUGUGGAAAAAGGACACUUCCUGUCCGCUUCCCCAAUCCCUUAUGUGGAGGGUAACAGUAGCUGCGGCGUCUGCUUCAGUCGUAUCUGUUUGAGGUGGAAUGACUUUUUUGAGCCACAUUUCAUCAUGUUACACUGGAUUUCUUAAAGGUUUGCAGAGAGAAGCUUGUCCAAACCUACUAAAAUGCCUACCUACAUCAC